rnacentral:tRNA from 1 species
GGUGGUGGCUCAGUGGUAGAGCGCUUACCUAGCACUUGAGAGGCCCUGAGUUCCAUCCUCGGAACCA